rnacentral:rRNA from 1 species
UGAGGAAUUUUCGGCAAUGGGGGCAACCCUGACCGAGCAACGCCGCGUGCAGGACGAAGGUUUUCGGAUCGUAAACUGCUUUUCUCGAGGACGAGCAAGGACGGUACUCGAGGAAGAAGCCCCGGCUAACUACGUGCCAGCAGCCGCGGUAAUACGUAGGUGGCGAGCGUUGUCCGGAUUUACUGGGCGUAAAGGGAGCGUAGGCGGAUUUUUAAGUGAGAUGUGAAAUACUCGGGCUUAACCUGAGUGCUGCAUUUCAAACUGGAAGUCUAGAGUACAGGAGAGGAGAAGGGAAUUCCUAGUGUAGCGGUGAAAUGCGUAGAGAUUAGGAAGAACACCAGUGGCGAAGGCGCUUCUCUGGACUGUAACUGACGCUGAGGCUCGAAAGCGUGGGGAGUAAAC